GGGGGUGUAAAGGUUUCGACGGGGAAUUGAAAAUCUGGGGAGCACCGGGUCGGGGCAGGCGGCCGACCUUAAUAAACCUGCACGGCAUUAAUUGCCGACAAUUAUAACACUCCUGUUGCCUUAGCGGCUUAACAGGCGUCCCCGAUCCAGAUGCCGGUGGUAAAAAGGGGGCGUCACUCACUACCGGAUAGGGGAGCGCAACGCCCGUAGCGCAACCCGAAACUCACGGGACCGCCGUUUGACUGCUUUGUUCGCUGCGCAGGCAGACGGUUAAAUCGAGCAACGAACUAACGGUGUAGGGUCUCAGAUGCUAGAUUUUUCGGACGUGGGUUCGACUCCCACCACCUCCACCA
rnacentral:tmRNA from 1 species